rnacentral:rRNA from 1 species
UACAGAGGUCCCAAGCGUUGUUCGGAUUCACUGGGCGUAAAGGGCUCGUAGGCGGCCAACUAAGUCAGACGUGAAAUCCCUCGGCUUAACCGGGGAACUGCGUCUGAUACUGGAUGGCUUGAGUUUGGGAGAGGGAUGCGGAAUUCCAGGUGUAGCGGUGAAAUGCGUAGAUAUCUGGAGGAACACCGGUGGCGAAGGCGGCAUCCUGGACCAACACUGACGCUGAGGAGCGAAAGCCAGGGGAGCAAACGGG